AGCCCAACUCUAGCCCAACGCCCAAACCCUUACGACCAACAAAAAUCAACCACUGCCCUAAACCAAAACAUUUUUUCCCUCCUAGUAUAGGCGAUAGAAAAGACCCUUAAUGGCGCCAUAGAGACUUGUACCGCAAGGGAAAGAUGAAAUAACAAUGAAAACCUAAGCAAUGAACAGCAAAGAUACACCCUUGUACCUUUUGCAUCAUGAUUUAGCAAGAAUAACCAAGCAAAGUGAACUUAAGUUUGCCCCCCCGAAACCUACGCGAGCUACUUGUAAGCAGCUAUCUAUGAGCGAACCCGUCUCUGUGACAAAAGAGUGGGAUGACUUACUAGUAGAGGUGAAAAUCCAACCGAGCUGGGUGAUAGCUGGUUGCCUGUGAAAUGAACCCUAGUUCCCCCCUGACCGGCACCCCUUGGAAAACUAAAUUGAACCGACAUGUAAGCUAUCAGGAGCAAAUUAAAGGAGGUACAGCUCCUUUAAAGUGGAUACAACCCCCAUUAGCGGAUAACUCUAUUCCCUUCUAGCUGUGGGCCUUCAAGCAGCCACCAACAAAGAUUGCGUCAAAGCUCAAAACCACCAAAAACCCACACACAACCACGACUCCCUUCACAUUAACAGGCCAACCUAUUACAUAUAGGAGAAUUAAUGCUAAAAUAAGUAACUAGGGCCCCUCCCCCUCUAAAGCGCAAACUUACAUCCCACAUUAUUAACAAAUCACCCAAUACCUAAACAUUAACAAGACUAGGUAUUCACGGCCCCUGUUACCCCGACUCCGGAGCGCUCCCUAGAAAGAUUAAAAUCUGUAAAAGGAACUAGGCAAACCCGAGGCCCGACUGUUUACCAAAAACAUAGCCUUUAGCAAACCAAGUAUUAAAGGUGAUGCCUGCCCAGUGACACCAUGUUAAACGGCCGCGGUAUUCUAACCGUGCAAAGGUAGCGCAAUCAAUUGUCCCAUAAAUCGAGACUUGUAUGAAUGGCUAAACGAGGUCUCAACUGUCUCUUACAGAUAAUCAGUGAAAUUGAUCUCCCCGUGCAAAAGCAGGGAUAAACCCAUAAGACGAGAAGACCCUGUGGAACUUUAAAAUCAACAGCCACCGCACGUCAAAUCACGCCCUACUAGGCCCACUACCUGAACCUAUGGCUGAUAUUUUUCGGUUGGGGCGACCUUGGAGAAAAACCAAUCCUCCAAAAAUAAGACCUAACCUCUUAACUAAGAACAACCCCUCAACGUACAAAUAGUAACCAGACCCAAUAUAAUUGACCAAUGAACCAAGCUACCCCAGGGAUAACAGCGCAAUCUCCUUCAAGAGCCCAUAUCGACAAGGAGGUUUACGACCUCGAUGUUGGAUCAGGACACCCUGAUGGUGCAGCCGCUAUCAAGGGUUCGUUUGUUCAACGAUUAACAGUCCUACGUGAUCUGAGUUCAGACCGGAGUAAUCCAGGUCGGUUUCUAUCUAUGACGAGCUUCCCCCAGUACGAAAGGACCGGAGAAGCGGGGCCCAGGCUACAAGCAAGCCCCCACACCAAAGUAGUGAAACUAACUAAACUACGAAAGAACCACCCACCAUAAUGUCCAAGAAAAGGACCG
rnacentral:rRNA from 1 species